GAUUAGCCUGCGUUAGCGGUUGUAGUGGCAUCCUUUUUUUGCUGCCACAUAUGGCAAAAAAAGAUAUAACGGAAGACGCGACCCUUG
rfam:Metagenome sequence 3634300_fasta.screen.Contig6516, whole genome shotgun sequence.